rfam:Chthoniobacter flavus Ellin428 ctg66, whole genome shotgun sequence.
GGCGCCGUGGUGAAAUGGCAGACACAGCGGACUUAAAAUCCGCUUCGGGGAAACUCGAGUGCGGGUUCAAGUCCCGCCGGCGCCA